CAGACACCAAGUGACCUGACUGAACCCUCUGGAGACCAUGAAUGGAAUGAGAGAUCCACUUCAUUCUUACAACAGACACCGAGUGACCUGACUGAACCCUCUGGAGACCAUGAAUGGAAUGAUAGAUACACUUCAUCCUUACAACAGACACCAAGGGACCUGACUGAACCCUCUGGAGACCAUGAAUGGAGUGAGAGAUCCACUUCAUCCUUUCAACAGACAUCAAGUGACAGGUACCUGACUGAACCCUCUGGAAACCAAGAAUGGAGUGAGAGAUCCACUUCAUCCUUACAACAGACACCGAGUGACCUGACUGAACCCUCUGGAGACCAUGAAUGGAAUGAUAGAUACACUUCAUCCUUAC